CCGCUUUCCUGCUUCUCUUUGAGGACACGGUCUGUUCACAGGAUGUCUCUGCUGGAAGCAUUCACCUUCUUGUCCUUCUGGGCAGUUGGACUUGGGCUAUCAAAAUUGGAGCAGCCUCAGAUAUCCAUUUCCAUAGUAGUAAAGAAAAGUGUUGACAUAUACUGCAAGGUUUCAAGCACAAAUUUUGAAAACGAUGUCAUUCACUGGUACCGGCAAAAAUCGAAUCAGGCUUUGGAGCAUCUGAUUUAUGUGAGCUCAACAAAAAGUCCAUCUCAAAGUAACCAAGGUGGGAAGAACAACAAAGUUGAGGCAAGAAAGAAUUCUCUAAGUCUCAUGUCAAUGCUGACUAUAAACUUCAUAGAAAAAGAAGAUGAGGCCAUUUACUACUGUGCUGGCUGGACACACACUACUACAACUGUUGAGACAACCCACACAAUAUCCUUUCCCUGGAUCUGUGCCACAUCCUUCCCAUCAGUGGCAACCACAACCAGCACCCCCCUCUCCAGCUGGGCUCCUGAAGUCAGCCUUGCCUUGUCUGCAGCAUUUUCUGAGCUCUUCAAGAAGCCAUCUGGGAUUGUGCUUGCACAUAGCUCUCAGUUAAUUCCAGGGAUUGUGCUUCCACAGCUUUAUUUGACAAUACAUCCCAAUUAAUUAAAGUCUUGUGUGGGGACGGAAAGCACAAGCUGUGCCAUGGUCCACCAUCUCAUCUUCCAGUGACUCUCAGUAAGUUGUCAGGAUGACUGGAGCCAUUAUUAUCAUGCAUACUCAAGACAACCCUUUGGCAAUAUACUAUUAUUGUUCCAUUUUCCAACUAAAAAUUUAAGCUUAUAGAAUUUAGCUUUAAAGAUUAGAAAGACAAGAAGUCCAUCCUUUUUGAACUGGACUGUGAGACCAUGAUAUUAAGUUCAAGGAUUCAAUACUUUAACUAAACACUAGGGUAUCUGUAUCAAAUUAGGGAUGAAGCAAAGUCAUUUUUCUGGGAGGUGUGGGAAAAAGGUUUCAGCCAGCAUGACAUCCUCAGACCAGAGCUUCAGAUUCACUGGAGAUGUUACAUGAGCCAGUUAUAUUUGGUAACCUUUGAUUUUGUCUGUGAAAGUAGAAAGAACCUGCUAUGAUCUGAAGAACUAAGUGUGUGUUUUGUAUAAGUUUGGCAUAGUCAGGGUGUGUGUGUAAGUUGCUAGUUUAUGCUCUCAAUUCUUUGACUAUAUUAGCUACUUCAACUCACACUAUAUAUACACCUGCUAUCAUCAAGUGUAUUUGACUCACAAGGUAAGUGAUGAAUUAAGUGAUUCAGUCACUUGUUCAAGUUACACAGCUGGUUUGUAGCUAGUUGACAGAGCAGGGUAAAGACCCAGAUAAUCUGGCUCCUCUUAGCUGUUUCACUAAAACCUUUCUAAUUGCAAGACAAUAAAAGAAAGAAUACACUAGUCCCAUCCUCAUAGGGGAAACAGAGCUAAACAUUAUGGGACAUUAACUGACACAAAUUAUCAAUGUCUACUGAAGCAUGUGCCCAGUAUUUGAGUGACCGGGUGUCCUUCAGAAUAAAUUAAAUGUCAAUAAAUUACCAAUUGAUUUUUCAAUAUAAAAUAAUACAAAGACCUAUAUUUUCAAUUUCUAAAAGUCAUGUUUGUAGUGGGAUUCUUUAAGAAUAUAGCUGUCUCCUUUAAGGUUCCUAUACAUGCUGCUCACCAUAGUUAAAAGUUACUGAAAUAAAAUCAAAAUGUUUAUUCUCUCUAGUCCCUAUUUCAAUGACUUAUAGUCUACUAUUUAAUUUUGAGAUGUACUGGAAGGGAAAAUAGAGUAAUUUUCAGGCCAGACAGACUCAAGAGACAGAAUUAGACACAUGAUCUGUCAGCCUUCUCCCACCUAUGGUGGGCUCAUAUUUCACUGAAUUACAUGGAGACCAAGACUCUUUAUGACCAUGAUGGCAUCUAAGUGGUGGCAAUGUUGUCUUCUUGAACCUAAAUAAAACCUCCCUAGUCGCUUUUAUAUUUUAUGCAAGGAAAUUAGAGACCAGAACCUAAGUGGUAAACAUCACA